rnacentral:rRNA from 1 species
UACGUAGGGGGCAAGCGUUAUCCGGAUUUACUGGGUGUAAAGGGAGCGUAGACGGCAUGGCAAGCCAGAUGUGAAAUACCGGGGCUCAACCCCGGGACUGCAUUUGGAACUGUUAAGCUGGAGUGUCGGAGAGGUAAGCGGAAUUCCUAGUGUAGCGGUGAAAUGCGUAGAUAUUAGGAGGAACACCAGUGGCGGAGGCGGCUCACUGGACUGUAACUGACGUUGAGGCUCGAAAGCGUGGGGAGCAAACAGG